CUGCCCCCCCCCCACCACCCCACUCCACCACUGGCAGCCAGCAUGAACUUGUCUGCUGCAGGCCUGGCCAGUGCCUGGGGAGAGGGAAGGGCACAGGACGGGUCGUCCCAGGAGGGAAGGGAACUCAUCUUUGCCGGAGGCCAGGGGCUCAGGCCAAGCCUAUGUGCCUCUUGAAUGAAGGGAUGGAUGGAUGGACGAAUGGAAAACGGGGAGAGGAGUCCUGUAGGAAGCCCUCUCGCUAACACAGAGGUAAAAGGGCCCUGGGAAAAUUCUAAGCAAAUUAAUGACAGAGAAAUAUGACUUGGGUUACAAACUUGGGGAAAGUGAAUGUUGGGGUCUGAAAACAGAACUUGGCCCUGUGUAAGAAAGAAUUGGCUAACAUGUUGACUUAUGAAAUAGGAGAAUUGGCCUCAGAAUGGGGUUCCUGCUUCAGUUCAAUUCCUUAGGUGUUUAAAGGGUGCCCCCCGGAGACAGGGCCUCCUGCUUGGUGCAUAGGAAAAUCGCGGACUCUGCCCAGAUCCCUGUGUCACAGGUUCCCAGGGACGUGGUGCGGAAGCAGAGGGCAGGGGAGGGGAGUAACGAUGGUCCUGGGGUCCAGGCUGCGUUUGGGGUCA
rnacentral:lncRNA from 1 species